rnacentral:rRNA from 1 species
CCUACGGGACGCAGCAGUGAGGAAUAUUGGUCAAUGGACGCAAGUCUGAACCAGCCAUGCCGCGUGUAGGAUGACGGCUCUAUGAGUUGUAAACUGCUUUUGUACGAGGGUAAACCCCGAUACGUGUAUCGGGUUGAAAGUAUCGUACGAAUAAGGUUCGGCUAACUCCGUGCCAGCAGCCGCGGUAAUACGGAGGAUCCGAGCGUUAUCCGGAUUUAUUGGGUUUAAAGGGUGCGUAGGCGGUUUGAUAAGUUAGAGGUGAAAUGUCGGGGCUCAACCCCGAAACUGCCUCUAAUACUGUUGGACUAGAGAGUAGUUGCGGUAGGCGGAAGGUAUGGUGUAGCGGUGAAAGGCUUAGAGAUCAGACAGAACACCGAGUGCGAAGGCAGCUUACCAAGCUAUAUCUGACGUUGAGGCACGAAAGCGUGGGUAGCAAACAGGAUUAGAUACCCGGGUAGUC